rnacentral:rRNA from 1 species
GUCUAUGGCCAUGCUACCCUGAACAAGCCCGAUCCUGUCUGAUCUUGGAAGUUAAGCAGGGUCGGGCCUGGUUAGUACUUGGAUGGGAGACCACCUAGGAAGACCAGGUACUAUAGGUG